CUAUGGGUAGUUUUCCGAGUUUCUUUGACGUUUAUUUUGUCUUCAAAUUUUGAAAGAUGUGUUAAUGUUUUGAUGUGGGGGUUUAUUAUUUUUGCAAACUAUUAUAAAAGCCAUUCUGUGAAAAAAUUAAGUUUCUGAGCUUAGUCGUUAAACAUUUAUUUUUAUUUUAUACGUCUUAAAGUGAAAAAAUACGAACGCGUCGUAAUUAUUUAAAGGUUUAACAAAGCUUGUGCGUGGUGAAGGUGAAUGGGUGACUGAUUUCUGGCCUGGAGAAGAAGGGCUAUUGAUUUUAAGUAUGGUGCUUUUUGCUUUCAACAGAAGAAUCUCAUUUUCCUUUUAGUGCCCAUGUUUAAGAUGUAGAAAUUUGUGUUGAAAGAAUGUUUGAAGAUAUUAGAUAUAGGUACCUAAAUAAGUUACAAUAAAUUGUAACCAUCCAUAGGCAUUGUAUUCUACAUCCACAACUUAAGCAAGAUUUAUGUUCCACAUCUUUGUAUCGAUGGAAUCAUUCUUGAACCUGGAAAUGUAUACCUUAGGGAGUGUAUCUACAAAAGGACAAGAAUUUACAAAAUAACUGUUAAAGGAAUUUACAAUUUGCAAUGGACAUAAGUAUGUAUUUACAAAAUUACUAAACCAAACCAAAUACAGACAAUAUUUUUAUUCUUGUUA